rnacentral:rRNA from 1 species
UGGGGAAUAUUGCACAAUGGGGGAAACCCUGAUGCAGCGACGCCGCGUGAACGAAGAAGGUAUUCGUAUCGUAAAGUUCUGUCCUAUGGGAAGAUAAUGACAGUACCAUAGAAGAAAGCUCCGGCUAAAUACGUGCCAGCAGCCGCGGUAAUACGUAUGGAGCGAGCGUUGUCCGGAAUUAUUGGGCGUAAAGGGUACGCAGGCGGUUUAAUAAGUCGAAUAUUAAAGAUCGGGGCUCAACCCCGCAAAGCAUUGGAAACUGAUAAACUUGAGUAGUGGAGAGGAAAGUGGAAUUCCUAGUGUAGUGGUGAAAUACGUAGAUAUUAGGAGGAAUACCAGUAGCGAAGGCGACUUUCUGGACACAAACUGACGCUGAGGUACGAAAGCGUGGGGAGCAAACAGG